UAGGCGGGGUCCCGGAACUA
rnacentral:misc_RNA from 1 species